CAUUUACCAGCAAACAAAGUAUGUGCAUGACAAACAAGACUGCACUUGAACCAGUUGCCUGUCCCUGGCCUCCCGAGAGGCCUGUUUUCCAUUUCAAACGGGGUGAACCUUGAAGACAUUUCCAGAAACCGAGGUUGGCAGUUCUGCCUCCAGCUGUUACCGAGCCCCGGACAUGCCUCCGAGGGAAAACAGCACGGAGUCCAUCAUUGCUUAGUGCUGCCACUGGUCUGCAGGCAAUGCAGCCACUGUACGGCUAAGGAGAGCGCGGAACAGGCACUGGCCAAGGGUGUGUCGUGCAGUGUACUUUCCACGCGUCAGCUGCUCACCUGGGAGGCUUGGUGUCUGUGAUCGGCAACGCGAAUGGGGCCUCGCAGUCCCCCCUAAACGCAGCUACAGCCGGGUCUUGUCUUUUUAGGACAGGUAAUGAAGUCCAAUUGAGGAGGAGGUGGGAAUGCCAAGAAAUAAAUCACUUUACCUUUGAAA